UGAAUGAUGGGCGGAGCUAAACUAAAUCAUGUGAUCACCCUUCGCGCGGCGCAGAGUCGCUGUAAUGAAGGCUCGGCAAGUUAUGGAGAGAAAGGAUACGAUUCUACCAUCUGCCGAGCUGGGAUUCGAACAAGGACUUCAGUUGUACAUUUUAAUAUUCUGGAUAAAAGUUAAAUAUGUUAGGAUACUACAGGUGGACAUUCAGCUGGUAAUCUCAGUCAUUGUAACACCUAACUCUGAUUGAAUUAGUCAAUUCAUCAGGACCUGGAUAUUCUCAUUGUGUGGUUCUGAAAGGGCGGACUUGUGGAUGAGAAAUUCAAAUUGAACUUCACGUUCCGUUUUGAUAGUUACUUGAUCCGUGCCGAACUGAAUAUCAUUGGCCUUUUCAUGUGGAAGCAAAGCUGCUAGAUGGUGAAGAUUCACAGACUGAAAUCUCAAAAUCAUGUGCAGAUCGUGAUUAAGUUAACCAGCAUUUGGCGAACCAAAUAUUGAGAGUCAAUCGGCCAAAAUCCUGCAACACUCUCCCUCACAGCAUUGUCGGUCUAUCUGCGCCAAAUGAACUGCAAAUGGUUCGAGACAGCAGUUCACUACCAUCUUGUCAAGGGUAACUAGAGAUGGGGAAUAAAUGCUGGCUGAGCCAGUGAUGCCCAUAUCCUGGAAAUGGUUUCUAUCUCUAUUUACUGAAACCUGAUUGUUACUGCAGGAUUAUGAGGGAUGCUGAGUGCAUGCUUCAGGAGGCAGAACCAUCACAUUACCCCUGCCUACACCCACACAGUAACACCGCAACGGCACUGGAACAAAAGGCAAUGAAGCUAAAGGAGGACUUAGAUAUAGUUCUGAA